CCGCAUCUGUCGAUCGCCCAUCGCGAGGGCAGCAGAAACCCUAGUCGCCACGGCCGCCUCGUUCAAGAAACCCAUCUCUCACCCUUCUAGAUCUAUGUGUGACCACAUCUUGGAUUUCUCAGUACGCCUGAAGAGUUUCGUUGAAAUGCCUUCUUGAAGUCGUAACGGGGCCAUAAUGAUUUUAUCUCUGAAACUUCCCUGCCAUAGCAAACAUUCA